GAUGAAGAACGCAGCGAAAUGCGAUAAGUAAUGUGAAUUGCAGAAUUCAGUGAAUCAUCGAAUCUUUGAACGCACAUUGCGCCCCUUGGUAUUCCGAGGGGCAUGCCUGUUCGAGCGUCAUAUUAACCACUCCCGCUUGCGGGGUCUUGGGCUUCGCCUCCGGGCGGGCCUUAAAAUCAGUGGCGGUACCGUCGGGCUCUACGCGUAGUAAAUUUUCUCGCGAUAGGGUCCCGGUGGAUGCUUGCCAACAACCCCCAACUUCUUAAGGUUGACCUCGGAUCAGGUAGGGAUACCCGCUGAACUUAAGCAUAUCAAUAAGCGGAGGA
rnacentral:misc_RNA from 1 species